rnacentral:rRNA from 1 species
GAUGAACGCUAGCUACAGGCUUAACACAUGCAAGUCGAGGGGUAGAAGAGGCUUGCUUCUUUGAGACCGGCGCACGGGUGCGUAACGCGUAUGCAACCUACCUUCAUCUGGGGGAUAGCCCGGAGAAAUCCGGAUUAAUACCGCAUAAAAUCACAGGAUGGCAUUAUCCAAUGAUCAAACAUUUAUGGGAUGGAGAUGGGCAUGCGUGUCAUUAGCUAGUUGGCGGGGUAACGGCCCACCAAGGCGACGAUGACUAGGGGAUCUGAGAGGAUGGCCCCCCACACUGGUACUGAGACACGGACCAGACUCCUACGGGAGGCAGCAGUAAGGAAUAUUGGUCAAUGGAGGCAACUCUGAACCAGCCAUGCCGCGUGCAGGAAGACUGCCCUAUGGGUUGUAAACUGCUUUUAUUCGGGAAUAAACCUUAUUACGUGUAAUAAGCUGAAUGUACCGAAGGAAUAAGGAUCGGCUAACUCCGUGCCAGCCGCCGCGGUAA